rnacentral:rRNA from 1 species
GACGAACGCUGGCGGCGUGCUUAACACAUGCAAGUCGAACGGAAAGGCCUCAUUCGGGGGGUACUCGAGUGGCGAACGGGUGAGUAACACGUGAGUAACCUGCCCUUGACUUUGGGAUAACUUCAGGAAACUGGGGCUAAUACCGGAUAGGAGCUCCUGCUGCAUGGUGGGGGUUGGAAAGUUUCGGCGGUUGGGGAUGGACUCGCGGCUUAUCAGCUUGUUGGUGGGGUAGUGGCUUACCAAGGCUUUGACGGGUAGCCGGCCUGAGAGGGUGACCGGCGACAUUGGGACUGAGAUACGGCCCAGACUCCUACGGGAGGCAGCAGUGGGGAAUAUUGCACAAUGGGUGGAAGCCUGAUGCAGCAACGCCGUGUGCGGGAUGACGGCCUUCGGGUUGUAAACCGCUUUCGCUCAUGACGAAGCUUUGUGUGACGGUAGUGGGUAAAGAAGCACCGGCUAACUACGUG